rnacentral:rRNA from 1 species
UGGAUCGCUCCACCGGCGGGGCUGACAAAAAUAAACGUUGAUGCUGCAGUGGGGAGGGGAAGGAAACAUGGAGCUGUUGCGGCGAUAUCGAGAGAUAGCACUGGCCAAUUUUUGGGGGCAUCGACUGUGGUCUUUGGUGGCAUAUCCGAUCCAGCGACACUCGAAUGCAUGGCGGUCAGGGAGGCACUAGCCCUCGCUGAUGAUCUGAAUGUUACAGACAUAAAAGUGGCAUCGGACUCGAAGGUGGUGGUUGACGACAUCCGAGAGAAGAACCCAACGGAGUAUGCAGCGGUUAUACAUGAAAUAAUAGAGCAUAGUUCAUAUUUCCACUUUUGUAAUUUUUGUCAUGAAUUUAGGAGCUCGAAUAUCGAGGCUCACAAGCUCGCGAGGCAUGCUUUAUCCCUUCCGGCUGGCUGA